rnacentral:lncRNA from 1 species
CUUUGAGUUCCCAGAGACCCUUGCCUCCUGAAUAAACAUCACGUCAAAGGUUAUCCUCUGUUCUUCCCGUUGAGCCUAAAUUUAGCAAAAUUAAGAUAUGGAUUUUCCUUUAUUCUCUGUGAUCACAAAUGUAAUGUCAGAUUUUUUUCUCCCAGAGAGCUUUUUCAUCCCACCUCUCCUCGGUGUCAGGAUUGUCAGAACCAUAACUUAUUCAUAUUUUUGACCUCUGGGGAGGACAAUAUCCAAAGGGUCAGGGAGUGUUAUUGGAUGUCAGGAUGAAAAUUCACUGCUCUGAGCCAUUUACAGCGUUACAUUUAAUCAGGCCCUUGCGAAUGAGGCUGACACGGUGGCUGCUGUAUUUAAAGAGUGAGUCCUUCCUUAUUAGCAGUUAGGCCAUAUUUGUGCAUUUCCCAAAGUUCUCGGUGUGGGGAACUCUCAGAGCCUACUGGGUUUUCUCCAUAAGGAAGUAGAGGUCUAUGAUAUCUGCCCUGUGCUGGAGUCACCCUCCUCGCCUGCCCAGAGCUGCUGUGAGGCCAGCCAGGAGGGCUGGGGGGCCACGGAGCAUGCCGCUGUGAGCCCGGCCAUCUCAUUCCUGUAGUUCCUCUUCUGGCUGCUUAACCCUCGCAGGGCUCACAGUACAGCUCUUUACCUAGAAUGUCAAGGCCUGGGCAACCCUGGAAGCUUAAUGAUUUUCUGAGAACUGUGUGGAGAGGCCUAGAGGGCUGGAGGAACAAUUAAUCAAUGCUAACUAAUAACAAUAGUUAUUCUCUGAUUCACGGAUGGAAUAAAUCCCUCAUUCCUAACCUGCAGUAGAUACAACCCAGACAUGCUUGGCAGAGCCCAAAGGCUCAUUAGAAUUCUUGCCAGUCAGCAUCUUCUGUGUUUUCCAGAGAGUUCUAUUUUCCCAGUCACUUCGAAUGGCUUGGAAAAAGCUUUUAUAAACCCUACUGUCUUUCAACUGGCUUGUCUCCAUUGCCCUGAGGCAGCUGGUGGGUAAGGUUCUGACUGGGUCAACUCUGGCUGCCGGUGAGAGAGGCAAGCUCAGGGCUUCAGGACGAGGCAGACCUGUGUUUAUGAACUGGACCCACCAUUUUUCUGCUCCAUAACCUUCACCAUGUCACUUAACUGCUCUGAAUCUCAGUUUUUCUCAUUUGCAAAAUGAGAGCAAUAAUUGUUCCUAUCCAAAGGGCCCUGGAGAAGAUUAUGUGAGAUGCUGAAUAUGAAUUGAGGUGAACAUUUUCUCUUCCUCGGAGCUGGUACAGAGAAAUCCUCUGAUGUGGAAAGUAUCCCCUGAUUGACUCACUUGGCGUUGAGCCCCCAGAGCCUGGAUAUUGACAGUCACAUUUCAGAGAAACUGUUCUGCUGAGUAGAGGGAGAGGAAUUGGGAGCCAGGGUGAGGGUGGGACAAGGAAGAGCCAAUAAAAUAGGAAAUGGUGUGUGGAAUGCCCUUCCAAGUGACCCUCCCCCCCUGCUUUUUCUGGGAAACAUUCUAGAGAUAUUGGUGAAGUUGGAUCCCUAGAAAAUGCUGGUGAAGAGGUAGUAAGUAGCCUUGGGUCCAGGUGGCCCAGGGCCCAGUGUGGACAAUGAGGGGCAGAGGGAAAGAGGGGUCGAGGGGCAGGGAAAUUUCACCUCCAAUUCAAGGGGCAGGGUUCCCCCCCCCCCAGCAGACAAGCUUCACUCGGUGUCUGGCUUCUGGUAAAAUGCACAGUAAGUGAUGGUUGCUUUGGUAAAUGUUAGUGUUUUGCUGUGAGCCCAGAGGAGCUGGCAUGUCAGUCCAUUCCUGAGGUGAAGCAGGGCUGGAGAAGCGGAGUCUCCUGCUAUCUCAUUCCAGGUCGGAGGGCUGUGAAGAGAACUACAAAGCUGGACCACUGAGACAGGACUCCAAAUAUUCAUUUUAUCCCAUCUUAUUAACCAUUGGUAGGCUUUUUGUGUCUUAUAGGUAUCAGUAUAAAUCAUUUGCAUUCUGAAUUUCUUUUUUGAAUUCAAAUGCACCUGCUCAAGCUUCUGGAAGCUCAAGAAGGGAAACACCACACUCCUUUGUUGCUCUCCUUCUAGAGAGCAUAGCCAGGGUUUCUCCCAUUGCCAGUCCCCUUGUCUCUGCAUGUCUGAACCCCUCCAAACCUGCCAGGUUCAUCUUGGAUGCCAUUUCACCAUAAAUAUUUCCCUGACCCUACAGCCAGUGGGUGCCUCUCACCUUGGCAUGCCUACUGCAGCUGGAGUUUCCAGCUCUUGUGGCACUUGCCACUGUGUACAGUGCCCGGUGGAUACAUAAUGGGCCUGCGACAUUCACAAAGGAUGCAAAUCACAACUUCCACUCAUCACUAUGGGUAAUGUUUCCAUAGAACUUGGAUUUUCUAUCCAAGAACCAUCUUUACUUUCUUUUCACUUUCCUCAUCUGUUCAAGCACUUACUUUCUUAUGGGAGCCCGUCUUGUUUUUACAAAGCAUCACCGUUUUUACCCCUCCACUCGAACGACUGCAUUGACUGGUGCUGUUCGAUAGAUCUUUCUGCAGUGAUCAAACACGGGGCUGGUUGUUACCAUUUGGGACAGUGCAGUCAUAGGCACGGGCAAAAGGGAAUCACACAGUAUGUGGGUGGCUGGGCUCCCUCGGUGGCUGAGGAACCCGCUACUGCCCUUGUGUCCUUGAAGAGUGCAUGAUUCCAAUACAUGCAGAAUUUCAGCUUGCCUCUCAAGGAAGAGAUAGCAGGAGUUAAAAAUCUUGGCAUGACAAAGGUGAGCCACUUUCUUGCUUUUUUCUUUACCAUCACGACUUCAGGUAAGCACAUUAAAUUUUUUCUGUAGGAGUUCCCAUUAUGGCUCAGUGGUAAUGAACCCAACUAGGAUCUAAGAGGAUGCAGGUUUGAUCCCUGGCCCCACUCACUGGGUUAAGGAUCUGGUAUUGCUGUGGCUGUGGUAUAGGCCAGCAGCUGCAACUCUGAUUUGACCCCUAGCCUGGGACCUUCCAUACGCCACAGGUGUGGCCCUAAAAAG